rnacentral:rRNA from 1 species
UACGUAGGGUGCGAGCGUUAAUCGGAAUUACUGGGCGUAAAGCGUGCGCAGGCGGUUCGCCAAGUCAGGUGUGAAAUCCCCGGGCUUAACCUGGGAAUUGCGCUUGAAACUAGCGGGCUUGAGUGUGGCAGAGGGGGGUGGAAUUCCACGUGUAGCAGUGAAAUGCGUAGAGAUGUGGAGGAACACCGAUGGCGAAGGCAGCCCCCUGGGUCAACACUGACGCUCAUGCACGAAAGCGUGGGGGAGCAAACAGG